rnacentral:lncRNA from 1 species
AUGAAAAAGAAAAAAAGGCAAAGAAGAAGAAGCAGGGUGGUUAAAUUAGCGUGCUGGAAUCUUUUCAGUUUGUCGCAGAGUAGAAAAAUAAAAAAGGAAAAAAAAAAAAAAAGGCUCAGUAAUUUAAAUUUGCUCUCAGUUCAGGCUGCAAUGCUGGGUCCCGCCCCUUCUUCCGGCUGGGUUCCACUACCUGCAAGGCUGGAAUUGACAGCCACCGUGCAAACAAAAAAAGGCAACAAGCAUGCUGGGACCAUUCCGUCUGCUGUUGGGGUCUCACUUGUCCUGACAACUAAAAAUCAUCAGUGGAAAGGUCUCAUCAGGAAACCAAACCAAUUAAGGAUGGAAAGGUCUGGGGAAGCACAGAGUGAAACUCCAUCUUCGUCUUGUAUUAUAACCUUUAUGAAGACUAUUUCUCUACUACCGUCAGCAGUGAAUGACUUUGCUCACUUCCUACUAACAGCUGUAGCACAGAAAAGAAAAGGACAGGUCAAGUACUAGAGAAGCCAUGUUAACUUCCCAAAUAGGCAAUCAGCUUUAAUGAAACUGGUAAAUUACACCAAUGUGCUAAUUAUACAGGACUUUGUCACAGCAUAAGAGGUAAUAAAAUAACCCAUGUCUUGGCUUGGAAAGUGCUAUACAUAGAUUCUUUUUUUUUUUUUUUUUUUUUUUUUUAAUUGAGAUGUAGUUUUGCUAGUUACCCAGGCUGGAGUGCAAUGGUGCGAUCUCAGCUCACAGCAACCUCUGCCUCCUGGGUUCAGGCAAUUCUCCUGCCUCAGCCUCCUGAGUAGCUGGGAUUACAGGCACGCGCCACCAUGCCCAGCUAAUUUUUUGUAUUUUUAGUAGAGACGAGGUUUCACCAUGUUGACCAGGAUGGUCUCGAUCUCUUGACCUCGUGAUCCACCCGCCUCGGCCUCCCAAAGUGCUGGGAUUACAGGCGUGAGCCACUGCGCCCGACCACAUAGAUUCUUUUAGAAGAUUUAAUUGAAGAGAGAUUUUUAUUUUCCUGAAGCAUUCUAUAAUUCCCAGGGGCAUUCUUGCCAUCCUUUCCUUUUUAAGACUAGUUCUAGACAAAAAAAAAAAAAAAAAAGGCAAAGAGAACCGAAAAUAAUGACUUAAAAAUACGUUCUUACAAAUAUUUAUGACUAAAUUGCCAACAUUAGUUACUUUGGUAUAACUGUGAACACAGCAUACUUAGACCAUGUUAGGGAAUAUGAAAAUACAGAGUGGCACAUAUUGGUUUAUACUCUGAAUGUCUAUUUUAAAUGAAGAAAUAAUACUUUCAUGUUGAUCAAUGUUUACUGACUUCAGUUAGAAAAAUAUUAAUUUUUUAAGAGACAAAGUCUCUCUUUGUUGCCCAGGCCAGAGUGCAGUGACAUGAUAAUGACUCACUACAGCCUCAACAUCCUGGGCUCAAGCCAUCCUUCCACCUCAGCCUCCUGAGUAGCUGGGACUACAGGUGCAUACCACCAUGCUUGCUAAUUCUUUAUUUCAUUUUUUGUCGAGAUGGGGGCCUCACUGUGUUGCCCAGGCAGGUCUCAAACUACUAAUUUCAAGAUAACUUCCUGUCUCAGCUUCCCAAAGUGCUGGGAUUAUAGGAGAAUAUUAAUUUUGAUUAAAACAAAACAAUCCUGACAUUAAACUUCAGAGAAGGAACAUUUUUGUUUAGCUAAUGUCAGCUAGGUGUUAGCAAACGUGUCUCACACAUGAUUCCACUAGAUAUUUAACCUAUUAUUUCAGAGAAUUUUACUUGGUGCUAGGGAGAUUAAGUAAUAUACUGCAUAUCUCACAGCCAUUCUGGAAAAAAAAUACACUUCAAAAAUAAAUAUCCUACUAAGAUGUUAGGGAAUUCUGUGUAGUGAUAUACAUUUCAGCGGCUUUCCCAUCAUAGAAAUGUGUUUUAAAGCAAUACAGGGAACAAGUUUCCUGGAGACAUAUUUUAAAUAAUGUGGAAUAAGUUUACUGUCAUAUACUAUUUAAAUUGUCAUGCUCAGAGAAAAUUAAUAUCAAGGUGGGAAAUGCUAAUUCAUUUUUUAAAAGCUGUAUCAAAUUAAUACAUUUUAAUCUUUCCAAUUAUAACUGACAAAUAUCAUUUUCAAACUUCUUGCAUAUAUUAAAAUUAUUUCUUUUCGAUAAAUGUAUUCCUCAUUCUGAGUCCAUUUUCUUCAGUGUGAUUUUACUGUUUUGUCUUUUGGGCAGUAUAAUACUGUCUAAUAAAUCAUAUGUUGUGGCCAUGAUGUCCUAUUGAUUACAAUAACUCAUGUAGUUUUCAAUUUUAAUAGAAUUUGAAAAAAAAUGUUCACUCAUGUUGUAUGACCUAGCCAUCAUAGUUAACCCCUUCAUAUGUGAACACUCAGAAAAUAUUUUCUCAGGGCUGCCUAGGAACUGUGUCCUCAUCAUUGAAUCAACUGAAGCUUACAAAAAAAGUUUAAUUCGAUUUUUAAAACAUACAUAGACACAGAAUCCUUGAUUUUAAAGAGAUUUUCACAAUGAUUUCUUUGUGAUCACGGAGGUAAGGAAUUGCAGGUAAUUUCAUCUGGGUAGAUCACAAAGAGAUCAAAACAGAGACUGAUAUUUGCCUAGGGUAGAAGCAAGACCAUGAGGAUGCCUUAUACCCCAGUUGGCCAUUUCCAUCUUCCUGCAUGGACAGGAACACAUACCACAGAUAAACUUUGCUUUUAGAUUGAAUUCAAUUCUGAAAUACAAGGUAGCUCAUGUGCGAGUGGGUCACACGGAGAAAUGUAAUGUCCCUGUGCCAUUGGUGCUGGGUAUAUGUGGUACCUGGAGUUUCAUGGCAUUUUAUUAGUUUCUAUUUCUAAACCAAAAGUGCACCCUGCUCCACUAAAAGACACAGAAAAUAUACAAAUUGUAAGUCGAGAACAUGACAUGCCAC